rnacentral:rRNA from 1 species
GACGAACGCUGGCGGCGUGCUUAACACAUGCAAGUCGAACGGAAAGGCCCUGCUUUUGUGGGGUGCUCGAGUGGCGAACGGGUGAGUAACACGUGAGUAACCUGCCCUUGACUUUGGGAUAACUUCAGGAAACUGGGGCUAAUACCGGCUAGGAGCUCCUGCUGCAUGGUGGGGGUUGGAAAGUUUCGGCGGUUGGGGAUGGACUCGCGGCUUAUCAGCUUGUGGGUGGGGUAGUGGCGUACCAAGGCUUUGACGGGUAGCCGGCCUGAGAGGGUGACCGGCCACAUUGGGACUGAGAUACGGCCCAGACUCGUACGGGAGGCAGCAGGGGGGAAUAUUGCACAAUGGGCGGAAGCCUGAGGCAGCAACGCCGCGGGCGGGAUGACGGCCUUCGGGUUGUAAACCGCUUUCGCCUGUGACGAAGCGUGAGUGACGGUAAUGGGUAAAGAAGCACCGGCUAACUACGUG